GUCUAUUCAGAGAUUCAACUUCUUCCUGGUUUAGUCUUGGGAGGGUGUAUGUGUCCAGGAAUUUAUCCAUUUCUUCUAGAUUUUCUAGUUUAUUUGCGUAGAGGUGUUUGUAGUAUUCUCUGAUGGUAGUUUGUAUUUCUGUGGGAUCGGUGGUGAUAUCCCCUUUAUCAUUUUUUAUUGCGUCUAUUUGAUUCUUCUCUCUUUUCUUCUUUAU
rnacentral:misc_RNA from 1 species